UACGGAGGGUGCAAGCGUUAAUCGGAAUUACUGGGCGUAAAGCGUGCGUAGGCGGUUCGUUAAGUCUGUUGUGAAAGCCCCGGGCUCAACCUGGGAAUGGCAAUGGAUACUGGCGAGCUAGAGUGUGUCAGAGGAUGGUGGAAUUCCCGGUGUAGCGGUGAAAUGCGUAGAGAUCGGGAGGAACAUCAGUGGCGAAGGCGGCCAUCUGGGACAACACUGACGCUGAGGCACGAAGCGUGGGGAGCAAACAGG
rnacentral:rRNA from 1 species